UUAUCACGUCAUCUUGUUGAGUAUGUUUAUAAAAAGGGCUCCAAGAAACAAAAAAUUUAUAGAUUAACUAUUUAAACUUUUACACCACCUUUUAUGUUAACACAUACUCGUAAAAAAAAUGUUAAUUAACUAUCGAAUAACUUUUUGAAAAAUGGUGAUACAAAUUUUAGUACCGCGGAAUCAUAUCCUUUGAAGUGUCUAGAUGACACCAGAAUUUUUUUUAAUUUUUUAAUCAAUAUUUUAUUGCAUAAAAAAAUUAUUUAACAACUACGCUCACUAGAGCGGCGGCGCGCGCAUGCCUCAACUGCCGCGCAAAAGCCGAUUUUUAACGUUAAAUAAAAAUUAUAAAUAUUGGAGCUACAAUUCAGGGAGUCGAGAACUUUCUACUCAAAUUUUCUGAUCUUUCAGAAAUUUUUUUAAUAUUUGAGCUAUCACUCAUACUUCUUGAGAUUUUACCGAAAAGCUGGACAGCUAAUUUUUUUAACGGUUUUUUGUUAAUAACAAUUGUAAUUUUCUUUUGCAAAAAAAAAAUCCAAAAAACGCUUAUUUCUGGACGCCAUUCCGGAUCGUUUCAGCCAUCAACCAUAUUUUUAGGAGACUUGUAACUAUUUUUCGCAAGUUUUCAUCUUCUCGACUAGACUAUAAUACCAAAAAGGCAUAUAAACAAAAAAAUAUAUCACGAUAAAAUUAAAUUCGUGAAUUAAAAUUUAAAUCUACUAAGGGUAAAAAUUAGAGGGAAUAAAAUUUCAAAAUUUUUCGAUCAGAUGUAUGCUGAAGUUCUAUCAGUAUCAGCAAGUAAAUCCACCGAUUUUAUAGCUCUUUAUGAUUCAGGAGAUAUUUCAAUGAAAUACCAUGAGUAUUAUAAAAAUCUACCACAUAAAGCAGAAAAUGUGAGGAGAUUUGAUUUAGUUAUUAAUUAAAAUAAAAAAUACGGUAAAAAGUUAUUUACUAAUAAUACAUUCGUCCUUUUUUUACAACAGAUAUUAAUGAUAACGACAAUGACGAUAAAAAAAAACUAUUAUUAAUUUGAUUAUUUGAGUCAAGUUAUACCAUAAACUUUUCUCGAUUGCAAGUUCAUAACAGACUAGAGGAUCAGACUACCAUUCAGCGAUUACCAAAGUCAAGCAGCAUCGACGUGGAUCAAUAAUUGGAUGGGUGACCCCUUAGUACAAAAAUAGUUAACCGAUAGUAAUUUUUUUUUUUUUUUUUUCAAUUUAAAUUUAACCAACAUUUAUAUGAAUGAGGACAAUAAAUCCUAAUUUAAUUACUUGAUUAAUAAA